AUGAAAUUUUCAUAUACGGCUCUUAGAGGGGGACUCUGGUUAGUUACCUAUCUCAAUAAAGUAUACGAUUGGUUUGAGGAACGUCUUGAGAUUCAGGCAAUUGCAGAUGAUAUAACUAGUAAAUAUGUUCCUCCCCAUGUCAACAUAUUUUAUUGUUUAGGGGGAAUUACACUUACUUGUUUUCUAGUACAAGUCAAGAUGACUUACACACCUAGACGGAGGGAGUAG
rnacentral:rRNA from 1 species